UGUUUUGUAUGAUAUCCUUUGUUUUGGUGGGUAAUAUUAUAUUGUGGCAUGUACAAAUAUCUAACCUGGAAAUAAUCUAUGCUUGUCUGUCUUGUUGUCAGCAAAGUAUAAGUUGAAAAAGCGAAUAUAUUAUUAAUAUGAAUACAUGUUUAGAAUCUAUGAUUAAUGACACGUCAUUUUUAUUCACAUUUGUACAAUUUGAUGAUGAUUUUUUCCGUAUCCGUUACGAUCUUAAAUUCGUGUAAGAUCCAUUUUACCAUACUUCUUUGUUGCUUGUUAUAAUAGAUGAGUAUUUGUCUCCUAAACUUUAAUUUAGAAACCGGCCCUACCUGACCUGACCCAUUAACUAGUAAAUGUGUUGACUACCUUUUUUACCUUGAAAAAUUAUAUCCUUAAUAAUUGAUGAUAAUUGUACGUUAGAGAAAAUGAAAUAACAGAGUUACAGAGACAGGACCAAGCACAAGUGAAGUAGUGCAAAGAGCAAAGAAACCAGAAGGUAGACCGAGGGCAGGAUCGUCCACGACAAAUGAGAGCAGUGGGGUGAUGUUUGAACCUUCACACCAUCCGUGUCAUAUAUUUGUGCUUGCAAAACAUGUUUUUCUCAAGUGCUUAGGAAUAGAUUCCACCCAUGAAAAAGAAGAUUGACGAUUAUGCCCCUGGUCUUUCGGUCACCUUAUGAAUGUACAGUAUGCUUCUUUUAUCUGUUACCUUGUUUUAGAUCGGUUAAUUUUGAUUCUCGAUGUAACAUUGUGGAAAAGGAAGUAUUCGAUUGAAAGCUGCACCUAACGGUAAAAUUGCACUUAUUGGUUAGCCUAUUUCUUAUGUUUAGGUUCCGGGUUCAAGAGAAUUAUUGGACUAAAUUGAGAUUCAGUAAUGGUUAGCCUACCGAAUCAUUACCCAUUACCCAACCGGAUUCGUGUCACCACAUGCUAGCAAAUACGCAUAAACCCGCAAAAGGAAAGCACGAACAACAUAAUCAGAAAAAUUCAAAGGCAUGCUAAUAUGAAAACUAAACUCCCUAAUUGGUUUAAAUUCGUGUAAACAUUAUGUAAGGCAGGCUAAUAUCAAGACAACCAAGUGACUUUGAGAGUGUUUUAGUGCCAGAAUGUUUGAAACUCCACUACACAUAAAGAGACUGCAUAAACGACAUGCAGCCAUUGUGGGGUUGAUUUUAUCAGCAGUUGGUGGUUGGAGUUUCGAUGCAUGUUAAAAUUGGUUUGCUUGCUUAGGUUUUAUUUCUCUUCGGUUUACUUUUUAGAUUUCAAUGGUUUGGUUUGCUUGUGCUACGCGAUUGUCUUUGAGAUCUUCUAUGAUUUCUGAAUAUUAUUGGUUUCCUUGAUGUUGCAGGCCCCUUUUGCACUACUACACCUAUUAUAAAACCACAACCUGGUAAAGACAUUGCUAUACAACUUCAAGUCCUAUAUGUUGAUUAAAGCCUUAAAGGUAUAUUCAGGUGAUUAAUUUGGGGGAAAUGAAAUGGACCUUAUAUAGUAAAAAUUGAGGGUGGUUCACUGUCCGGCGGUUUUCAUGGUUUUUUAGGUCAAACCGUUAUAAACGGUUUUUGAUUAUUGAAUCCGAAACCCAGCCAUUAAAAUUAUGACCGAAAGAAACCGAGACGUUACUAACUGUUUGGGUCCGGUUUGGAAUUUAUACAAUAUAAAUUAAAGCUUUCAACAACAUAAAACAUUAAAAGUUGCCCAGAAAAAAACUUUGCUUAACAGAAAACAAUUUCAACAAGUCAGUUACAAAAAGCCUAUAAAGCUGAGUUUUGACUUGUCGUUUUUUAAACACUUAAAGGUUAGAUUAGGAGGGUUGAGAACUUGAUUGGGUUAAUUGAGCUCAUAUAACUUACAGUUAGCCACCUAACCAACUGCGGAACCAAACGGAUGACCGGUUUUGACGGUUUCAUGAUUCUAAACCCGUGAACACACUUAGUAAAAUAAGUUAAACAAACUCCUUUUGUAGAUUAAGAAAAAUGUGACAAUAGUCUGUCAUUCGCCAAGUCAACUUUUGUUCUUUUUUAAGGAUUUGGAUAGUAUACAGUGAAGAUUGUGGAAGAAUUCUUUGUGUUUGUUUAAGUUAACAUUAUGGUUUAAUCUUUUACAGUUUUAUGUUUUCCAACCACCCAUACAAUAAACAAGCAAGUUAAUGCGUAAAGUUCUCUUUAU
rnacentral:lncRNA from 1 species